rnacentral:rRNA from 1 species
ACUGGAACUGAGACACGGUCCAGACUCCUACGGGAGGCAGCAGUAAGGAAUCUUCCACAAUGGGCGAAAGCCUGAUGGAGCAACGCCGCGUGCAGGAUGAAGGCCUUCGGGUUGUAAACUGCUUUUAUGAGUGAAGAAUAUGACGGUAACUCAUGAAUAAGCACCGGCCAACUACGUGCCAGCAGCCGCGGUCAUACGUAGGGUGCAAGCAUUAUCCGGAGUGACUGGGCGUAAAGAGUUGCGUAGGUGGUUAUGUAAGUGAAUAGUGAAACCUGGUGGCUCAACCAUACAGACUAUUAUUCAAACUGCAUAACUCGAGAGUGGUAGAGGUAACUGGAAUUUCUUGUGUAGGAGUGAAAUCCGUAGAUAUAAGAAGGAACACCAAUGGCGUAGGCAGGUUACUGGACCAUUUCUGACACUAAGGCACGAAAGCGUGGGGAGCGAACCGGAUUAGAUACCCGGGUAGUCCACGCCGUAAACGAUGGAUACUAGCUGUUGGAGGUAUCGACCCCUUCAGUAGCGAAGCUAACGCGUUAAGUAUCCCGCCUGUGGAGUACGGUCGCAAGACUAAAACAUAAAGGAAUUGACGGGGAUCAGCACAAGCGGUGGAUCGUGUUCUUUAAUUCGAUGAUAAACGAAGAACCUUACCAGG